rnacentral:rRNA from 1 species
GAUGAACGCUGGCGGCGUGCCUAAUACAUGCAAGUCGAGCGAACAGAUGAGGAGCUUGCUCCUCUGACGUUAGCGGCGGACGGGUGAGUAACACGUGGAUAACCUACCUAUAAGACUGGGAUAACUUCGGGAAACCGGAGCUAAUACCGGAUAAUAUAUUGAACCGCAUGGUUCAAUAGUGAAAGACGGUUUUGCUGUCACUUAUAGAUGGAUCCGCGCCGCAUUAGCUAGUUGGUAAGGUAACGGCUUACCAAGGCAACGAGGCGUAGCCGACCUGAGAGAGAGCACGUCCACUGGAACUGAGACACGGUCCAGACUCCUACGGGAGGCAGCAGUAGGGAAUCUUCCGCAAUGGGCGAAAGCCUGACGGAGCAACGCCGCGUGAGUGAUGAAGGUCUUCGGAUCGUAAAACUCUGUUAUUAGGGAAGAACAAAUGUGUAAGUAACUAUGCACGUCUUGACGGUACCUAAUCAGAAAGCCACGGCUAACUACGUG